rnacentral:misc_RNA from 1 species
AAAUACAAAGGUAAAAUGCUGGGAACACUCCCAUCUAAGUACCUCAAAUGGGUGACAAAGAAUCUCCGAGCUCGAGAUUUUGAAGAAUGGGCUCAGCUAGCAGAUCAAGUCCUCUCUGACCCUAUCUAUAGGGACCGAAUUGAAUGGGAGUUUGCCCAAAAUCUCCUCAACGGCGACGUUUCACCGGCACGGACGCAGAGUUCCGUUUCGGAGUUGCUGGAAAUCAGCACCAGAUUCCGUUGGGACAAUGAGGAUAAGUUGGGUUGGAGCAAAAUUGAUUUUGAGUUACUUGGGACCUCUAAAGGUGGUCGAAUACCAAGGCUUUCUGAUUCCCCCAAUAAUUCAAUUAGGGUUGAAGAUAAAAAAAAGGGUACAGAUGGAGUUGAUA